UAGACAAGGUCAUAUCAAUUGGCUAUAAUAAUAUAUUGAAGACGACUCUUGUUUAUGUUUCGGGAAGGAGAGAGUAUAGAGGACGCUGGGACAAAGUGUUUCCCUCAAAUUGAUGUUUACAAGUUGAUAAAAGUCAAGAGACGAGCAAUACUUAUCAAAAUAAAUAAAAUGAAAAACAAAUUAGCCCCCAAAAAACACUAAUGACGUUUUAUUCAUAAUUUUGCGUCAUUAGAGCGAAUGCCGGGAAAUCCAAUAUCCCCUUAAAACACAUGAAAACACUUUUGUAAGACAAUUUAAACCCGUAAAAACAGUAACCACAUUUUCAUCAAGUAUUCUCCGCCAUUAAAACACAAUUAAAAAAAUAAAUAAGGAAAUAACACUAUGCAGGUCAAAGAAGAAGAAGAGGAAGACAAGAUGGCCGCCGACCUCUGCCCCAGCCGAGCCAGUCCACACUUUUUCGCCAUUCCAAGCCUUGUGGAGGGUGUGAGGUCUGUUAGGAAGUGACAAUCGUUCUCUCAGCCUUUCGACACCACAAGCAGCCGCCGGGAACCCUGCUGGUCAUACGGGGAAGGUCCCUGCCUCCCCUGAUGCCUGGGGGCAGACUCCUGGCUGGUGGCUGUCCUCCUCACACCUCCUGCCUCCACAUGUCUUCUCAAAGGUCUUUUUGGUGGUCGGGCUGUGAGUCUCCCAGCCUUGCCGAUGGAAGAUUCUCCUCCCCGGCCUUCCUCCUCCUUCAGGUCUUCCAGCUGGUCUCCUCCUGUACCUCCACAACUCCUCUGGAAG